rnacentral:rRNA from 1 species
CCCUUAGAUGUUCUGGGCCGCACACGCGCUACACUGAAGGAGGCAGCGUGUACUCCUGGAUCGAAAGAUUUGGGUAACCCGCGAAUCUCCUUCGUGCUAGGGAUUGAGGUUUGCAAUUAUCCUUCAUGAACGAGGAAUUCCCAGUAAGUGCAAGUCAUAAGCUUGCGCUGACUACGUCCCUGCCCUUUGUACACACCGCCCGUCGCUACUACCGAUUGAAUGAUUUAGUGAGGACUUCGGACUGGGACCGAUGCGGCUUUCGGGCUGCGUCGGUAUUCUGGAAAGAUGUCCAAACUGUAUCAUUUAGAGGAAGUAAAAGUCUUAACA